ACCUGAGUGGCUCAGUCAAUUGAGCGUCUGACUUCGACUCAGGUCAUGAUCUCACCGUUCAUGGGUUUGAGCCCCAUGUCGGGCU
rnacentral:tRNA from 1 species